AAUUAUCAAAAUUACUGUAAUAGUGAUUUUGGAUGAUGGGAGUUGCGGGACUUCUCGUAGAGAGAGGAUCAGCUCUCCUGAAAGGAAUUAGCAAAGGUUAAAAAGCCUUUAUUAGUGUGAUAAAUAGAAAUUGAUCACUAAGGGAAAAGGCUUGUCUGGCUUUGUUAUUAUGUAAACUUUAACUGGCUUUUGCUGGAAAAUGAAUGACGAA
rnacentral:misc_RNA from 1 species